CUGGAGUGGAAGAAGGAAAAACCUUCCCACAUCCUUCCCCCACACGUACAUCUCUCCCUAUUGAUUGAUUUUAUAGCUGGUCCGGCGAUCGCCAGCACUUGCCGCUUGCAUCUGUCGUGGAUCUUCCGAAGAAUCACCCUCCAAACCCUACUUUACAUCUCAUCACCCCCAUAUCUUCUGCCACGAACUCCCAAUCCCUCCUCCCUCCCCUCCCAUCUCCCCCGCCUCCAAAACCCCACCCUCCCGCGUCCAUGUCCACGAAGCAAAUCUCCAAUCCCGAUCUCUCGUCCUCAGCGACCGAAGCCUCGACCCCAUCUCCUCCCUCCACCCGGGAGAUCACCCUCGCCUGGCCUUCCGAUGGAAUCCUGACCGUCGAAUGGAUCCGAGCCCUCACCGCCGCCCUCGACUGGGCCUCCCGCCACCUCCCGCCCUCCGGUCUCCCCUCCGUCCUCCCCUUCGCCGUCUUCCACCGCCUGGUACUCGCCGCAUCCAACAUCCUCCACAAGGAGCGCAACUGCGUGACCGUCGACGUCGGCGACGAGUCCUGCAGUGUCGUCGUUGUCGGCGACGUUCAUGGCCAGCUCCAUGAUGUGAUCUUCUUGCUGGAGGAUGCUGGAUUUCCAUCGGAAGAUCGCUUCUUUGUGUUUAAUGGAGACUAUGUGGAUCGGGGUGCCUGGGGCUUGGAGACUUUCGUCCUCUUGCUGGCUUGGAAGAUAUUUUUACCACAUCGAGUAUUUCUCCUCCGUGGUAAUCAUGAAUCCAAGUACUGCACAUCUGUUUAUGGCUUUGAGAAAGAGGUAAUGGUUAAAUAUGGAGAUCAAGGCCAACAAGUCUAUCGAAAGUGUUUAAGAUGUUUUGAAGGUCUUCCUUUGGCAUCCAUUAUAGCAGGAUGUGUAUAUACUGCUCAUGGAGGGCUUUUUCGCAGCAUGAAUCUUGCUUCAUCAAAGAGAUCAAAAGGCAAAAAAGGCCGUAAGGUAGUCACCAAUGUUGACACAAACUCACUGAAGCUUGGUUCCUUGGAGGAGUUACAAAAUGCAAGGCGAACAGUUCUUGACCCUCCAUGGGAGGGUUCAAACUUGAUACCUGGUGAUGUACUAUGGUCUGAUCCUUCAGUAAAGCCAGGGAUUUCUCCAAAUGAAGAGAGAGGAAUUGGUUUGUUAUGGGGACCUGAUUGCACUGAAGAGUUCCUUAAAAAAUAUAAUCUGAAGUUGAUUAUCAGGUCACAUGAAGGCCCUGAUGCAAGGGAUAAACGGCAUGAUCUUAGUGGAAUGAAUGACGGCUAUACAAUAGAUCAUACAGUGGAAUCAGGAAAGCUCAUUACUCUUUUUAGUGCUCCUGACUACCCCCAAUUUCAGGCUACGGAAGAACGAUUCAACAAUCGUGGCGCAUAUAUUGUACUACACCCACCUGAUUUUACUUCUCCUGAAUUCCAUACUUUUGAAGCCAUAAAGCCAAGGCCUCAGGCAAAUGCCUACUACGACUUUGAAGAAGUGAUUGAUUCUGAUGAAGAGUUGGAUUUGCAAUCCAUGGACCAUGGCUCAGCUCUUGAGGGCAUCACUGCUAUUCAGACAGAAUAGUUAUAUUGUGAUACUGAUGUGCUUUAUUUUAUUCUUUUUUUUUUUGCUUGUGCGUUAUGAAGUUUACUGCUACAAAAGUUUUUGAUGUCAUCUCCAAGUGUAGAAAAUAGAUCGAGAUUAAUUAUGUUAUGUAUCUUGUAUAACCUCUUGGGAAGAUUUAUACAAGCGGAGCCAUCAAAGGCAUUUUUUGUUAUUGAGAGUGCUCAAAGCCUCAAACCAUAACUGACCCACUACAAUAAUAGUAACCAGGUAUCAAUUUUUCUCAUAUAUGACCUACAAUGAUCUGUUGAUAGUUGCAACUGUUGUUGGUUGUGAUGGAUCGGAAUCAGAGCCCUUUUUUCUCUCUUCU